rnacentral:rRNA from 1 species
GACGAACGCUGGCGGCGUGCUUAACACAUGCAAGUCGAACGGAAAGGCCUCAGCUUGCUGGGGUACUCGAGUGGCGAACGGGUGAGUAACACGUGGGUGAUCUGCCUUGCACUCUGGGAUAAGCUUGGGAAACUGGGUCUAAUACCGGAUAUGAACUGCCUUUAGUGUGGUGGUUGGAAAGUUUUUUCGGUGCAAGAUGAGCUCGCGGCCUAUCAGCUUGUUGGUGGGGUAAUGGCCUACCAAGGCGUCGACGGGUAGCCGGCCUGAGAGGGUGUACGGCCACAUUGGGACUGAGAUACGGCCCAGACUCCUACGGGAGGCAGCAGUGGGGAAUAUUGCACAAUGGGCGGAAGCCUGAUGCAGCGACGCCGCGUGGGGGAUGACGGCCUUCGGGUUGUAAACUCCUUUCGGCAGGGACGAAGCUUUUUGUGACGGUACCUGUAUAAGAAGCACCGGCUAACUACGUG